rnacentral:rRNA from 1 species
UACGUAGGGGGCAAGCGUUGUCCGGAAUCAUUGGGCGUAAAGAGCGUGUAGGCGGCUCGGUAAAUCCGCUGUGAAAGUCCAGGGCUCAACCCUGGAAUGCCGGUGGAAACUGUCGAGCUAGAGUCCGGAAGAGGCGAGUGGAAUUCCUGGUGUAGCGGUGAAAUGCGCAGAUAUCAGGAGGAACACCAAUGGCGAAGGCAGCUCGCUGGGACGGUACUGACGCUGAGACGCGAAAGCGUGGGGAGCAAACAGG